CAUCUUGGUACGGUCAUAUCCCGGCCGAUCGAAUCUCCUUCCGGAGCCACCGUCGCCGACUGCCUCCCCGUCUUCGGUACUCCGUCUGGCGCCGCGCCCGUCCGCAUCCAGUCGAGCUUCCCUAGCCAUCUACUUUCCUGUCUCCUUCUUUGCUGUAAAUACUGUAAGUAUGACCUCGUCUUGGGGAACAACGGAUUCUGCAUUAGAUGUGUUCAUCAUUGUUAUUUAGUUCCUCUUUGACUUGAAGAUCGUUUCUCCUCUUCAAACUAGACCUAAAAAACUAUAAUCGUUUGCUUAGUCACAACUUGUUUAAAUCAUUUAAUUGUAUUGAGAUAUGUCCUUCUUAUGAAAAAAUUAUCAAAUUGUUUUGUAAAUUGUUGCUAAGAAUUAGGCAAUCUAAAAAGGCUAGUCUACAUUUCCCACCUAAUACUUAUUUGAGAUUGGUUACGGAAUCUAUCUAUCUUUUGAGAUAUAUGUUGGGUUUAAUAACUAGUAAUAUUCAAAUCAAUCACAACUUAACAUCUGAGAUAUUUUCCAGCCAACUCAAUAAGUUUCUUCCUUUUCCUUCUAUGCAGGCCAAUUGCUAGAUGUACUUACAACAAUCACAACUUUAUUAUGGAUUCUUUUAAAACAUCUGAGUUUUUCACUCUUUGAAUUAUCAUACAAUCUCGUAUUUCUAGAGUCCUUUGCUAGAAGUUCUCCUUGUGGAAAUCAAAGCGGGUCGUUGUGUCAUGGCUGAAUUCCAUUGAAAGAUCUCUCAGUUGUUUUGCGAGGUUUGAGGGUCCACAGUAGAAAACACCUGUAGUUCCAAAUAUGUAAAAAUGCGUAAGCAAUAGGAAUAUCGUAGUAUCGGUUUAGUUGCAGAGAGCUAACCUAUUGAACAGGCCUUGUGAGUGCUUGCUAAGUUGGAGAAUACUUUCCUCCAGUUUGGUCUCGCGAAGUGUGUUCUUAUCUGUCAAUUUCAUGCAUCAGUCAAAAUGGGCAUAUAGUUUCUAUUGUUUGAACUUUCCUAACAGAGGGCAAUUACCUGACUUCCAGAUACAAUAUCAAUUCCGCUUUUUGCGUAUUGAAGUGACUGAACCAUUGCAAUAAUCGCCGAUCGAACAUCGCCUUCUUCAAAAUUAACGAGUAAGAAAAGAAGCAACAAAGGGUUUGGACAUACAUUGUGGUCACUUUCUGCAACCUCAUUCAUGACACCUUUAAACCAUUCAAAGGAACCUUGUUCCCGGGUCACCCAAUAGAAGUGCACCAUAAGGCCCAUCGAUGAAGAUCUUUGGAAAUCUUGCAUGACAAAUGUAAUUCAUCUUCAGAGUUUGGUUACUUCGGAAAAUCUUGUAGAGAUAACUGCCUCACAAGCCUGUUUCAAAGUGUCAUGUUAUUCUUGAAAUGUGGAUAUAGAUUUUGAGGAAAAGAGAGAACACAUCAAUCUUCAAAUCAAACCUUUCCAAAACAAUUUCUGAGAGCAGUUGUCCAGUCUCCCAAGGAGCGGAUGUGAACACUCAAGUAGUCAUCUCCUGGUGCUGACGUGAUCGAGAAGGGAUGCCUAGUAGAAUCAAAACAAAAGUUAAAUAAAAGGUCACAGUUUCUCUGUGAAUAUGAGAUCAGACGUACCAUUCGAAUGGUGAUAUAUCUGGACACUUGAUGAACAGGAAAUUGCCGUAUUCCCAAAUAGAACUGAUUUUGCAAGUAAAAGCAACACAUGCAUGAAGAAUUAAACAAAGAGUCAGUUACCAAUGCAAGGUCCAAAAUUCUCCUUCUGAAGUCUGCCGCCCACUGCAGAUUUUUCAAAUCGCUUCUCGAUCGUAUGCCAGCCUCCCUUCCCUGCCAAAGUCUUGUCGAGGAACUUGAUCUGAGCACCGGAUAUAAACCCUCUCGUCCUACGAUGUUGAUGCUUUUCAGUGCCAGGCUUCGGGGUGAUAUCCUGCAGCUUAACGUCAGGUUCAAGCACAAGAUGCUGGCCAUGCUUCGGGGUGAUGUCCUGCAGCUCAACGUCAGGUUCAAGCACAAGCUGCUGUGCUGGAGCUGAUUGGUCUGGUUCUCCAUGAGAACUAGUAGCAUGGAGCUGGUGUGCAGAAUUAUCGAUCUCUGGAACAUCCACAGGUUGAUGCGGCGAUUCCAUCUCUGGAUGAAAGAUAUCCUGAUGCAGCGUGCUGUACCCUAGCUGCUAUUUAAGUCUUGCAGAAUGGAUUGAGCACGUAGGAUAACCGUGGUGCAUUACAAGUUACAAUCGAAAGUAGAGAUGAAGAUUGGUAUAUGGAAAUGCCUAGCAUUACUGUCAGUGUUAAUUAUGAUUUUGUGCGUUGGCAGCGCUUGGAGAUAUCUGAGUGGAUGCUAUCGUAUUGUGGAGCGGUGUGUCUAAUAGCAGUAUAACAUGUGGUGCGCUCA